AUGAACCUAUCCUCUCAGGAAUUUAUCUAACUCUUUUUCGAACCCAGUUAUAGUUUUGGCCUUCACAACAUCCCCUGGCAACAAGUUCCACUGGUUGACUGUACGUUGGGUGA